rnacentral:ncRNA from 1 species
CACAAAGGCUUGGUCCUGACUUUACUGUCAGCUUUAACUAGAUUUACACAUGCAAGUAUCCGCACCCCUGUGCGAAUGCCCCACAGCUCUCCCCCCGAGAACGAGGAGCUGGUAUCAGGCACAGUUUAAUACUAGCCCAUAACACCUUGCUUAGCCACACCCCUACGGGAAUUCAGCAGUGAUAGACAUUAAGCCAUAAGUGAAAACUUGACUUAGUUAAGGCUAAGAGAGCCGGUAAAACUCGUGCCAGCCACCGCGGUUAUACGAGAGGCUCAAGCUGACAGACAACGGCGUAAAGAGUGGUUAAGGGACCACCCAAACUAAAGUCGAAACCCCUCAAAACUGUUAUACGUACCCGAAGGCAAGAAGCUCCACCACGAAAGUGACUUUACCCCCCCCCCGACCCCACGAAAGCUGUGACACAAACUGGGAUUAGAUACCCCACUAUGCCCAGCCAUAAACUUUGAUAGACCCUUACACCCACUAUCCGCCCGGGUACUACGAGCACCAGCUUAAAACCCAAAGGACUUGGCGGUGCUUUAGAUCCCCCUAGAGGAGCCUGUCCUAGAACCGAUAAUCCCCGUUUAACCUCACCCUCCUUUGUUUCUUUCCGCCUAUAUACCGCCGUCGUCAGCUUACCCUGUGAAGGUCUGAUAGUAAGCGAAAUUGGUUCAGCCCAAAACGCCAGGUCGAGGUGUAGCGGAUAAGAGGGGAAGAGAUGGGCUACAUUUCCUGCCCCAGGAAACACGGAUAAUGCACUGAAACGCACAUUUGAAGGAGGAUUUAGCAGUAAGUAGAAAAUAGAGUGUUCUACUGAAACUGGCCCUAAAGCGCGCACACACCGCCCGUCACUCUCCCCAACCCAACAUAAAAACCUAUACCUAAAAAUCCACGCCCAAAAAGGGGAGGCA